rnacentral:rRNA from 1 species
GACGAACGCUGGCGGCGUGCUUAACACAUGCAAGUCGAACGGUGAAGGUGGGAGCUUGCUCCUGCUGGAUCAGUGGCGAACGGGUGAGUAACACGUGAGCAAUCUGCCCCGAACUCUGGGAUAAGCGCUGGAAACGGCGUCUAAUACCGGAUACGACGCGCGAGGGCAUCCUCUGCGCGUGGAAAGAGUUUCGGUUCGGGAUGAGCUCGCGGCCUAUCAGCUUGUUGGUGAGGUAAUGGCUCACCAAGGCGACGACGGGUAGCCGGCCUGAGGUGGUGACCGGCCACACUGGGACUGAGACACGGCCAAGACUCCUACGGGAGGCAGCAGUGGGGAAUAUUGCACAAUGGGCGCAAGCCUGAUGCAGCAACGCAGCGUGAGGGACAUCGGCCUUCGGGUUGUAAACCUCUUUUAGUAGGGAAGAAGCGAAAGUGACGGUACCUGCAGAAAAAGCACCGGCUAACUACGUGCCAGCCGCCGCCGUAAUAC